rnacentral:rRNA from 1 species
AGCGAACGCUGGCGGCGUGCCUAACACAUGCAAGUCGAACGUGAAAGGGAGCAAUCCCAAGUAAAGUGGCGUACGGGUGAGUAACACGUAGGUAAUCUACCCCAGAAUCUGGAAUAACCGGCCGAAAGGCUGGCUAAUACUGGAUAGAGCGACGGAAUCCGUAAUUGGGUUUUUCGGGAAAGGGAGCCUGUAAAAAGGCCUUCGUUCUGGGAUGAGCCUGCGUCCCAUCAGCUAGUGGGUGAGGUAAAAGCUUACCAAGGCAAUGACGGGUAGCUGGUCUGAGAGGACGGUCAGCCGCACUGGGACGGAAACACGGUCCAGACUGCUACGGGAGGCAGCCGGAGGGAAUCGUGAGCAAGGGGCGGAAGACAGACGAAGAAAGGCCGAGUGAGUAAAGAGGGCCGUCGGGUUGGAGAGCUCGGUCGAGUGGGACGAAAAUGCUUGGAGUUCACAGCUCCAGGAACUGACGGUACCACUAAAGGAAGCACCGGCUAACUCCGUG